rnacentral:lncRNA from 1 species
AACGUGUUUUUUAUCUUGUAAAAGUCGCCUUUCUAAUCAUAAAUGACAAAUUAAGAGAAUAAUGAGUGAAAUUAUUCAUUAUCUGCUAAAGGUUAAUAAAUGAAAUGGAGUAAAAGACGAACUCGAAGAAAUGUCAGUGAUUGUGUUUGUGGAUGACAACUGGGAUGUACAGAAAACCAAUGGCAUUUAAGAAUCAGCAACUUGUAACGAAUAAUUUUAUCUGAGUAGAGAAGAGUCACGUCGAGCAGGACAGAGCGAAAAGACAGCAAGGUUUGUGAAUAGUACGAUUUAAGCUAUUAAGCGAUAUUUGUAUUUUUGUUAACGUGUGCACGGGAAUCUACACCUAUAUUCACUGAUUACAUACACACUUUUUUGAUAUGUUUACGUGGUGCUGCUGCUACAGCGGUUUCUUAAAAGGAUAAUGCGACUAGUUUUUGGAGAUUUUAUUUCUAAAAAGCAAUUAACCAAUGUUGAAAAGUAUUCAUAUAAUAUAUAGUCUAUGUGCAUUAACAUCGCCAUAAGUAUUUAAAUAGUGAGAACGUUCAAAUGAUUGAUAGUUUUGUAAACAAACUCCGAUAUUUCAUAUGCAAUAAACCAAACCUAUUUUCUUUGAAGACUUCAAGGACUAUUUCAAUGCAUAUAUAGUGAAUGAAAAAAGUGGCAAAUGAACAACGGGCAUGCGCUAAAAAAGGAUACAAUCAUUCAUGUUGUUUAUUAGCACAUAUUUCACUAAAAGCAACUUUAGUUGUUAUAAAAAAAGUUAACCAUGAACAUUUAAGGUAGAGGUACCAAGUGUUCUUGCAGUUUUCUAGUUAAAAUCCCUGACUAAAUAUAAUAAAGAUUUAUGUUCAAAGACAUUUAUUUAUGAGUAGUUUUUUUUUAAAGGUUAGCCUAACAAGCGGUGGUAUUUUUUGUAGCAAAUGAGCUCUAAAGCGCCCUUGACCUGAACAACUCUGCUUAAUUUUAAGUUUCACGCUUUUGUCAGAGCCUCAUUUAUAAGAAGUUUUUAUUUAUUAUACAAAUGUAUGUACAUUACAAAUUUAUUCACUUGCUUAAGAGAUUUUUUUCAAAUCUUUGGUUGCUUGUACAAAAGUUAUAUAGUAUGUCUUCAUUGUCAUAGUCUUCAGUGAAAUAAACUAGGUUUAAACUGCCUUACUACCAGUUUAACUGGUCAGCUCACUAUCUUUUCAAGAAACAAGUAUUUGUGUAUUUUUCCAUUUUUGAAAUGUAAGUUGCAAACAUGAAUUACAUUUCAGGUUAUCUGACGAUUCGUAAAACUCGCGAAGUAUAAAUUAAAAAUUCAUCUUUCAAUUUGGUGACAGUAGUAUGUAUAUACUAGCCGACCUGGCGAAGUUUGUUUUGCCAUAGUAAAUUUUAGGAAAAUAUCUAACACUAAAAGUGUGUGGAAGAUAUAAUUAUAAUUGAAAGAGGCAUGAAAAUGAAAUAUACAUAUGUUAAAUUACAGUAUUGAUAGCUACCUAUAUACCGAAAAAUUUUUAUAUUUCUUCAAUUAACUAUUUCAAUUAAAAAUAAACAAAGAUUAAUCACUCAACGCAAUGGAGUGUAUGUAUAAUUUUGUCGGUCAGCCCGUUUUAGCGCAUACCAACAAACUGGAUAGCAAGAUUUCACAGUGACACAAAAUGCAAAAAUCCUAUACCGAAAUGUGCAAGAGCACGACAGCACCCAUUGCAGGAUCUAGUGAUAUAAGAAUAGCUGAUUCGGUAAAUUUAUUGUAAAUGACUAUUAUGCAAAACUAUUGUGAAUGACUAUUUUAACGAGUAUUGUGAAU